rnacentral:rRNA from 1 species
CCUACGGGGGGCAGCAGUGGGGGAUAUUGGACAAUGGGGGGAACCCUGAUCCAGCGACGCCGCGUGAGUGAAGAAGUAUUUCGGUAUGUAAAGCUCUGUCAGCAGGGAAGAAAGAAAUGACGGUACCUGACCAAGAAGCCCCGGCUAACUACGUGCCAGCAGCCGCGGUAAUACGGAGGAUGCGAGCGUUAUCCGGAUUUAUUGGGUUUAAAGGGUGCGCAGGCGGCCUGUUAAGUCAGCGGUAAAAGCCCGGGGCUCAACCCCGGCGAGCCGUUGAAACUGGCGGGCUGGAGUUGGAGAGAAGUACGCGGAAUGCGCGGUGUAGCGGUGAAAUGCUUAGAUAUCGCGCAGAACCCCGAUUGCGAAGGCAGCGUACCGGCUCCACACUGACGCUGAGGCACGAAAGCGUGGGUAUCGAACAGGAUUAGAUACGCUGGUAGUC